rnacentral:tRNA from 1 species
AAUGAAUUGCCUGAUAAAAGGGUUACCUUGAUAGGGUAAAUUAUGUAGAUAAAUUUACAUUCAUUA